GGGGGCGUUCCGGUUUCGACGGGGAUGAUCCAGCUGGUAAGAGCAUGCCGAGGUUCCGUCGGCCUCGUUAAAAAGGCGGAAAACAAAUAACUGCAGAUUACGAAGCACUACCCAUGGCUGCCUAAGGCAGCCACGCCUCGCCCGGUUGGGCCUCUUCGGUCAGGCGAUCGGCGUCAUAAUGGAGAGGAUAGCGGUGCGGUUCGCCUUCGGCCAACCCGCGAAACCCUUAGAAGGCUGGCUGUCUUAAAAGCGUCUUCGCAUGACAGACAGCGAGAUUCUUCGCGAAGACUAAGCAUGUAGCGCUUGCCAGGUGAACGUUUUCGGACGCGGGUUCGACUCCCGCCGCCUCCACCA
rnacentral:tmRNA from 1 species